GUAGGUGGCAAGCGUUGUCCGGAAUUAUUGGGCGUAAAGCGCGCGCAGGCGGUUCUUUAAGUCUGAUGUGAAAGCCCACGGCUCAACCGUGGAGGGUCAUUGGAAACUGGAGAACCUGAGUACAGAAGAGGAAAGCGGAAUUCCACGUGUAGCGGUGAAAUGCGUAGAGAUGUGGAGGAACACCAGUGGCGAAGGCGGCUUUCUGGUCUGUAACUGACGCUGAGGCGCGAAAGCGUGGGGAGCAAACAGGAUUAGAUACCCUGGUAGUCCACGCCGUAAACGAUGAGUGCUAAGUGUUAGGGGGUUUCCGCCCCCCUUAGUGCUGCAGCUAACGCAUUAAGCACUCCGCCCUGGGAGUACGGCCGCAAGGCUG
rnacentral:rRNA from 1 species